CACCUCUUCCCAUUCCGAACAGAGAAGUUAAGCCUAUCAGCGCAGAUGGUACUG
rnacentral:rRNA from 1 species